rnacentral:rRNA from 1 species
AAUUCCUGCUCAGGACGAACGCUGGCGGCGUGCUUAACACAUGCAAGUCGAACGCUGAAGCUUGGGUGCUUGCAUCUGGGUGGAUGAGUGGCGAACGGGUGAGUAAUACGUGAGUAACCUGCCCUUGACUCUGGGAUAAGCCUGGGAAACUGGGUCUAAUACUGGAUACUACAUUCUCUCGCAUGGGGGGGUGUGGAAAGGGUUUUACUGGUUUUGGAUGGGCUCACGGCCUAUCAGCUUGUUGGUGGGGUAAUGGCCUACCAAGGCGACGACGGGUAGCCGGCCUGAGAGGGUGACCGGCCACACUGGGACUGAGACACGGCCCAGACUCCUACGGGAGGCAGCAGUGGGGAAUAUUGCACAAUGGGCGAAAGCCUGAUGCAGCGACGCCGCGUGAGGGAUGACGGCCUUCGGGUUGUAAACCUCUUUCAGCACGGAAGAAGCGAAAGUGACGGUACGUGCAGAAGAAGCGCCGGCUAACUACGUGCCAGCAGCCGCGGUAAUACGUAGGGCGCAAGCGUUGUCCGGAAUUAUUGGGCGUAAAGAGCUCGUAGGCGGUUUGUCGCGUCUGCUGUGAAAGCCCGGGGCUUAACCCCGUGGUGUGCAGUGGGUACGGGCAGACUAGAGUGCAGUAGGGGAGACUGGAAUUCCUGGUGUAGCGGUGAAAUGCGCAGAUAUCAGGAGGAACACCGAUGGCGAAGGCAGGUCUCUGGGCUGUUACUGACGCUGAGGAGCGAAAGCAUGGGGAGCGAACAGGAUUAGAUACCCUGGUAGUCCAUGCCGUAAACGUUGGGCACUAGGUGUGGGGGACAUUCCACGUUUUCCGCGCCGUAGCUAACGCAUUAAGUGCCCCG